rnacentral:rRNA from 1 species
UAGGGAAUCUUCGGCAAUGGACGAAAGUCUGACCGAGCAACGCCGCGUGAGUGAAGAAGGUUUUCGGAUCGUAAAACUCUGUUGUUAGAGAAGAACAAGGACGUUAGUAACUGAACGUCCCCUGACGGUAUCUAACCAGAAAGCCACGGCUAACUACGUGCCAGCAGCCGCGGUAAUACGUAGGUGGCAAGCGUUGUCCGGAUUUAUUGGGCGUAAAGCGAGCGCAGGCGGUUUCUUAAGUCUGAUGUGAAAGCCCCCGGCUCAACCGGGGAGGGUCAUUGGAAACUGGGAGACUUGAGUGCAGAAGAGGAGAGUGGAAUUCCAUGUGUAGCGGUGAAAUGCGUAGAUAUAUGGAGGAACACCAGUGGCGAAGGCGGCUCUCUGGUCUGUAACUGACGCUGAGGCGCGAAAGCGGGGGGAGCAAACAGG